UCAGUUUGAAAAACAUAAUUUUAUUUGUCCUUAAACAAGUAUUUGAUGAACAACAGAAGAAAUUAUACAAACUGCAUAUAGUGAAAUCCCAAUUCAUAAGGAGGGUCUGGUUAGAGCUUUUUUCAUAAUAUACUAUGUUUCUGUAUAAUACAUAUUUAUUAUUUAUAUAUUAUAUGUUUUUAAAAAUAUAUUUCUUUAAGAAUCAAUAAAUCUACCCCCCCAGUUGUGUUCCACUGUGUGUUAUAACAUUGUUUGACUUGAAACAUAAAUAUAAGUUAUACUACGCGAAUAAUAUAAAAAUGUCAACAAAAUUGAGGGAAAACCAAGUCUUGUUAUAUUAUACCCAAGUAAUAAGCUACAUUUCUGAAUGUCUAUCAAAAUAUGACAUGAAUACGUGAAUACUAGAAACAUGCUUGGAAAUGUUUUCUUUAAAUGUCCAGUCAGAUAUUAACAAAAGACACCUUUUUGUCCCAAUGAAAUUUGUUUUACAUUUUCUUUAGUUAUACAUGCAUAACUUUCUAAAUUUUUUUCUUGGGCCCACCAAUAUAUAUAUUAUCUGAAACUUUUGUGUUUUCUGUGUUUAAAAUAACUGGGGAAAGGGCAUACUUAGACCCUCCCAUCCCAUUCGGGGCAUUGGGGCAAGAUGUGGGGGAAGGGCACAUAGAUUUAAAAAAAAAAGGAAGUUGUGUUUGACAUCAUUACAUAACUUAUAAUAAUAUAUUAUUGAGUUGUGUUUGACAUCAUUACAUAACUUAUAUUAAUAUAUUAUUA